rnacentral:rRNA from 1 species
AGUGAACGCUGGCGGUAGGCCUAACACAUGCAAGUCGAACGGCAGCACAGUAAGAGCUUGCUCUUACGGGUGGCGAGUGGCGGACGGGUGAGGAAUACAUCGGAAUCUACUUUUUCGUGGGGGAUAACGUAGGGAAACUUACGCUAAUACCGCAUACGACCUACGGGUGAAAGCAGGGGAUCUUCGGACCUUGCGCGAUUGAAUGAGCCGAUGUCGGAUUAGCUAGUUGGCGGGGUAAAGGCCCACCAAGGCGACGAUCCGUAGCUGGUCUGAGAGGAUGAUCAGCCACACUGGAACUGAGACACGGUCCAGACUCCUACGGGAGGCAGCGGUGGGGAAUAUUGGACAAUGGGCGCAAGCCUGAUCCAGCCAUACCGCGUGGGUGAAGAAGGCCUUCGGGUUGUAAAGCCCUUUUGUUGGGAAAGAAAAGCGGCAGGUUAAUACCCCGCUGUUCUGACGGUACCCAAAGAAUAAGCACCGGCUAACUUCGUG